rnacentral:tRNA from 1 species
GAAGGUAUAGCUCAAGUGGUAGAGCACUGCUUGGCACGCAUGAGGUCCUAGGUUCAAUCCCUGGUAUUGCCU